rnacentral:rRNA from 1 species
AGCCUGAACGCUGGCGGCGUGGCUAAGACAUGCAAGUCGUACGGUGUAGCAAUACACAGUGGCGAACGGGAGAGUAAUGAAUCGCUAAUGUACCCCGGACUCUGAGAUAGCCAUCCGAAAGGGUGGGUAAUACCAGAUGAUAUAUCUUUAUCGCAUGAUAGAGAUCUCAAAGGUCCGCCGGUCUGGGAGCAGGCGAUUUCGUAUCAGCUAGUUGGUGAGGUAACGGCUCACCAAGGCGACGACGCGUAGCCGGACUGAGAGGUUGGCCGGCCUCAUUGGGACUGAGACACUGCCCAGACUCCUACGGGGGGCUGCAGUAACGAAUCUUCCGCAAUGCACGAAAGUGUGACGGAGCGACGCCGCGUGUGGGACGAAGUCCUUCGGGAUGUAAACCACUGUCAGGGGUUACCAAGUUCUGAGGAGCCCCAGAGGAAGGGACGGCUAACUCUGUGCCAGCAGCCGCGGU